rnacentral:rRNA from 1 species
AGCUCCAAUAGCGUAUAUUAAAGUUGCUGCAGUUAAAAAGCUCGUAGUUGGAUCUCGGGCUCGAGCUAUCGGUCUUCCUACCGGUUGUCACUGAUAGUCUCGGCCUAACUGCCGGUUUUCUACGGAUGCUCUUCGUUGAGUGUCCAUAGUAAUCGGAACGUUUACUUUGAAAAAAUUAGAGUGCUCAAAGCAGGCGUGAGCCUGAAUAAUGUUGCAUGGAAUAAUGAAAUAGGAUUUCGGUUCUAUUUUGUUGGUUUUCGGAACUCGAAAUAAUGAUAAAGAGGGACAGACGGGGGCAUUCGUAUUGCGCCGUUAGAGGUGAAAUUCUUGGAUCGGCGCAAGACGAACAACUGCGAAAGCAUUUGCCAAGAAUGUCUUCAUUAAUCAAGAACGAAAGUAC